UUUCUUCUAAUGUGUUUAUCUUUCAUUUCUUUAAAAUCAUUUUAUUUUUUUAUUCUAUUUGAUUUUAUAUUUUUAAUUUCUAUUUUUAUUUUAUUAUUGAUCACAUUUUCUUUAUUUUUGUUUAUCAUCUAUUUCUUCAAAUCAUGUUAUUCUAUUUGAUCUUUAAUUUGACUUUUUUUGUUCAUCAAUAAUUAUGACAUUUA
rnacentral:lncRNA from 1 species